UACGAAGGGUGCAAGCGUUACUCGGAAUUACUGGGCGUAAAGCGUGCGUAGGCGGUUUGUUAAGUCUGUCGUGAAAGCCCCGGGCUCAACCUGGGAAUGGCGAUGGAUACUGGCGAGCUAGAGUACGGUAGAGGAGAGUGGAAUUCCCGGUGUAGCAGUGAAAUGCGUAGAGAUCGGGAGGAACAUCAGUUGCGAAGGCGGCGUUCUGGACUGCAACUGACACUGAGAAACGAAAGCCAGGGUAGCAAACGGG
rnacentral:rRNA from 1 species